UCUAUGCAUGUACCCCAGAAUCUAAAGUACAAUUUUUUAAAAAAAGGAAUUUAUAAUAAAUGCACACUCUUACGUAAAGGAAGCUAAUCUGGGGAAGCCAUAUACUAUAUGAUAUCAACCAUAUUAUAUUAUGGAAAAGGCAAAAUGAUGGACAUUGUAAAUUGAUCUGUAGCUGCCAGAAGUUUGCCAGGUGAGAUGAAUGAAUAGUUUAGAGCACUGGGGAUUUUUAGGCCAUUGAAACUAUUUCAUAUGGUACUUUAAUGGUAGCUACAUGUCUUUAUACAUUUGUCAAAAUCUUAAAAUGCACUUCAAAAGUGAGC